rnacentral:lncRNA from 1 species
GUGUUCAUAGAAACCAGAAGCGAGCAGCUGUGCACAGCACAAGCGGGCUCACAGUGCAUUGUUUGGGAUGCCUUCUCUCAACACAGCUUUAUUCAUUUUCCUUCUAUUCGUCACCCCCACCCCCAGUAAGAUCCAUUAGCAUUGCCGCCUCUACUCCCUCAGACGCAGCAGCGAGCAGGAUUCGACCUCAUGGUCCUUGGGGGCCCCCGACAGCAGUUCUAGGAGAACCUCCACUUGUGAUUCGACCCACAGCAAAAGUGAUUCAGUGUUGCUGAUGAACGAAUUUGAAUAAAUCUUCUGUCGCAGGUUGUUUUAAUGUUCCCUGCCUCACUGUGCUAUGCAGACAGGCUGCGCGCGCGCGCGCGUGUGUGUGUGUGUGUGUGUGUGUACACAGCAUACAUAUACAAGAAUGUACUGGAACUUGGGAAUAAGCCUCUUGUCCUCAGUGAGGCAUAAUAGCAUUUCCGGUAAGCCUUUCAGCUCAUCAUCCAUGAAGAAAAAAAAAAAGGGAAUGAGCCAUAUGAAGCGUUGUGGCCAAAGGGAAACUUCCUAUCUCUUCAGUGAGAGAGCAACGGCCUCUGUGAAGGGUGUGUGUUCACACGAUGUCCUGCGUUAAGAAACCACACGGUCACAAGUUGGUGCACAGACUUUUUAUUUUAGUGUUGUCUGCUGCCCGGGAGACAGAUUUUAAGUUCCAUCCAAAGUGGUUGCUCCCAGCUCCCCUUUUGCGGGGAGGGCCUGGCAUCGAUUUGAAUUGCAAACAAGCAUGGGGUGGCAUUGUUCAAGCUCUCAUUGUCCGUUCCAUUAGUGCUAGUGAUGCCCAAGCCAGGGGGUUCUUGCCAGCUUGGUUCCUCUGCUGCCUCCUCUUUCCAGGUGGAGGAGACCAGACAUAUCAAAAGGUCAUUUCAAAGGGUCUUCAAAAAGAGGAAAAGCACCCAGCACUCAAAGGACUCAGAAUGUACCUUUCUCCAAAGUGAGAGAAGUUGAGCUCCCGUCCUUCUAUUCCGCCAUCUUAAUCCCCUCCUCGAGAAACGCUGAAGGCUGAUGAUCAUCUUAAACACCUGAAGAUGCAAGGAGCCAAAUCCAUCAUAAACCUGAUUUAAACAAACUGUAAAAAUGCUUUUUUUAAAAAAACAGAGGAAAAUAAACUCUGACCUAUGUAAUAAGUGAUAUUUCAGGCAUUAGCUUUCACUUUUGUUGGGUGUGACAGUGAUAUUGUGGUUAUGUUUCUUUUUUUUUAAUCUUUGUUAUAUACAAAAAU